AUUGAACGCUGGCGGCAUGCUUUACACAUGCAAGUCGAGCGGACGCACGGGGGGAACCCUGGUGGCGCGCGGCCAACGGGCGGGUAAUACACCGGAACAUGACCUAUCGAGGGGGAUAACACAACGUAAGGAAAGCGAAUCCCACACACGACAAGAGAGUGAAACCGGGGGAUCGCAAGAGAUAGCGGGAUUUGAGUGGACUAUGAGAGGGUUGCGAGCUGCAUUAGCUAGUUGGUAAGGUAACGGCCUACCAAGGCAACGAUGCGUAGCCGACCUGAGAGGGUGAUCGGCCACACUGGAACUGAGACACGGUCCAGACUCCUACGGGAGGCAGCAGUAGGGAAUCUUGGACAAUGGGCGCAAGCCUGACCCAGCAACGCCGCGUGAGUGAAGAAGGCCUUCGGAUUGUAAAGCUCUGUCAGCAGGGAAGAACAAGCGUGUUCUAACAUAGGCAGCUAAUGACGGUACCUAAAGAGAAAGCACCGGCUAACUACGUG
rnacentral:rRNA from 1 species